rnacentral:tRNA from 1 species
GUGCUUAAUGUAGCUCAGUGGUAGAGGACUUGCCUAGUAUGUGUGAGGCCCUGGGUUCCAUCCCAGCAGCACA